UACGGGGGGGGCAAGCGUUGUUCGGAAUUACUGGGCGUAAAGGGCUCGUAGGUGGCCAACUAAGUCAUACGUGAAAUCCCUCAGCUUAACUGGGGAACUGCGCCUGAUACUGGUUGGCUUGAGUUUGGGAGAGGGACGCGGAAUUCCAGGUGUAGCGGUGAAAUGCGUAGAUAUCUGGAGGAACACCGGUGGCGAAGGCGGCGUCCUGGACCAAUACUGACACUGAGGAGCGAAAGCCAGGGGAGCAAACGGG
rnacentral:rRNA from 1 species